rnacentral:tRNA from 1 species
GACUUGGUGGUUCAGUAGUAGAAUUCUCGCCUCCCAAGCGGGAGACCUGUGUUCAAUUCCUGGCCAAAACA